rnacentral:rRNA from 1 species
AUUGAACGCUGGCGGCAGGCCUAACACAUGCAAGUCGAACGAGUGGCGGACGGGUGAGUAAUGUCUGGGAAACUGACUGAUGGAGGGGGAACACUACGGGAAACGGUAGCUAAUAGCGCAUACCAUCAGAGGUGCCCAAAUGGUGUUAGCUAGUUGGUGGGGUAAGGGCUCACCAAGGCGAGGCCCCCUAGCUGGUCUGAGAGGGUGACCAGCCACACUGUAACUGAGACACGGUCCAGACUCCUACGUGAGGCAGCAGUGGGGAAUAUUGCACAAUGGGCGCAAGCCUGAUGCAGCCAUGCCGCGUGUAUGAAGAAGGCCUUCGGGUUGUAAAGUACUUUCAGCGGGGAGGCGUUACCCGCAGAAGAAGCACCGGCUAACUCCGUGCCAACCGCCGCGGUAAUUC